rnacentral:rRNA from 1 species
UACGUAGGGGGCUAGCGUUGCUCGGAAUCAUUGGGCGUAAAGGGCUCGUAGGCGGUUUGUCGCGUCGGGAGUGAAAUCCACUGGCUUAACUGGUGGCUUGCUUUCGAUACGGGCAGACUGGAGGUAUGCAGGGGAGAACGGAAUUCCUGGUGUAGCGGUGAAAUGCGCAGAUAUCAGGAGGAACACCGGUGGCGAAGGCGGUUCUCUGGGCAUGUCCUGACGCUGAGGAGCGAAAGUGUGGGGAGCGAACAGG